rnacentral:rRNA from 1 species
CCUACGGGAGGCAGCAGUGAGGAAUUUUCCGCAAUGGGCGAAAGCCUGACGGAGCAAUGCCACGUGGAGGAGGAAGGCCUGUGGGUCGUAAACUCCUUUUCUCAGAGAAGAAGUUCUGACGGUAUCUGAGGAAUAAGCAUCGGCUAACUCUGUGCCAGCAGCCGCGGUAAUACAGGGGAUGCAAGCGUUAUCCGGAAUUAUUGGGCGUAAAGCGUCCUGAGGUGGCUUACCCAGUCGACUGUGAAAGCUCAAGGCUUAACCUUGAAACGGCAGUCGAAACUUGUAAGCUUGAGUACGGUAGGGGCAGAGGGAAUUCCCGGAGGAGAGGUGAAAUUCGUAGAUAUCGGGAGGAAGGCCAAAGGCGAAAGCACUCUGCUGGGCCGAUUACUGACACUGACAGACGAAAGCUAGGGGAGCGAAAGGGAUUAGAUACCCCUGUAGUCCUAGCCGUAAACGAUGGAUACUAAGUGUUGCGCGACUCAAAACGUGCAGUGCUGCAGCUAACGCGGUAAGUAUCCCGCCUGGGGAGUAUGCCCGCAAGGGUGAAACUCAAAGUAGUAGUAGGACGNGNGAGAGCGACGACGACGACGACGAGGAGAG